AACUAUGGGCGGUGGAUCAACUCGGCUCGUGAGUCGAUGAAGAGCGCAGCCAGCUGCCCGUGAAUUAAUGUGAAUUGCAGGAACACAUUUGAGCAUCGAUACCUUGAACGCACAUUGCGGCCUCGGGUCAGUCCCGGGGCCACGCCUGACUGAGGGUCG